UAUUGGUGUCUGAAGGUAUUAGGUUUUUGUUUUAUGCCACUUGGAUGGCUAAUUCCUUAUCUUCUAAAAAUUCAUCCUUUUGCAGCACUCCUCAUUGCAUUCCGCUUGGUCUCUCUCUAUGCCCUGUGAGGGGAAUGCAACCUUUGUGCAUAUACGUGUUCAUAUUUUUCUAUUAGUGUAGAAAUUUUACCAACAUUGUCCCUGUAGCAAAUAUGUUGACACAUGGUAAACAUUUAGAAGCUCUUGUUUUGCCAAUAAUUGCUUUUCACUUUCUUUUGUUCUUUAACCUUCUUUGCAUUUUUAGGAAAACCUAUUGUGGGCCUUCUGAAUGCAUUUUGAGAUAUUUUAAUAUUUUUCUCAAGAAAAGGAUAUUAAUAAUCUCUGCAUAUCAGGUGCUGCUG
rnacentral:misc_RNA from 1 species